rnacentral:tRNA from 3 species
GCGCCCGUAGCUCAGCUGGAUAGAGCGCUGCCCUCCGAAGGCAGAGGUCAGGGGUUCGAAUCCCUUCGGGCGCG